rnacentral:misc_RNA from 1 species
UUAAUUUAUUUUUUGCUUUAGAAGCCACUCAGAAGAUACUGAAGUAAAAACAGAGUUUGAGGUCUUGCGGCGGGGGCCUGGUUCCGGCGCACAGGGCGCCGGGGCGAUCCCGCCGAAGCAACGAUAGGUAUGUUCACAGGGGUUUGGGAGUUGUAAACUCAGUAAUGAUCCCUCCGCUGGUUCACCAACGGAGA